GUAGUCCUCUCCUUUUCGGACUGGCGAUACAGUCUCAGAACCAGAUUACCAUCCCUGUCAGCCCUUGCGCCCACACGGUGACAAGUGGCGGGGCGUGAUGAUAUCUGUUUAGGAUUUGCGCUACAGCUCCUUGCGUCCACCUAGUUGCUUCACGCUAUUUACCUCCUGUCCCAGGAAAAGGAGUGGGGGGAACGAAGUGAUGCAUCAUGGGAAAGGAAGUAGAGUGGCUUAAUUGACUUCAGCUAAAGUAUGCUAAAGUUCCCCAGGAAAGAGAAUUUUUCUUUCGGGGGGAAAAAUAAUAUGCGUAGUAUUUAAUGAAUGACAAAGGAAAUAUAAAACGUAAAAAUAAUAACCACCAAUAUUUCUCUAGUAAAGCACUUAACUUUUACCUACUGUAAUUCUUUUUAGAGUUGUUGGCCCCAGUUUAUGAAUGAUGAAAUUUAAAAUUAUUUAUUUGCCCAAGGCAACGCAGAGAAAGUGAAAUUGAAUAUCUCUUGUCCUCAGGGAUUUCUUCAGUCAGGGACAUAAGCACUAACACAAAUUAGACUACAAGUUUUACCUUUCUGGUACUCAGCUAUAGUGUUCUUCAGUCAGGCCUUUCUUUCCAGUCCCCAUUGUGAAUCUAUCAGGGAGGUCAUGCAUGUCAGUCCCCUCCCUGCCUCUAAGCCGCAGACAAGGGAGGAGAUGCGAUUGAGUUGUCAAAGACCUGAAAGGACCAGCCAGGGGGCUCAAGGCGUAACAGCCCAAGAGCAAUGCCAAGAAGGCAUUUCUAGUAUUUAUUGAAUAAAUGAAUUUACAAUGAACUCAAAAAUCCUUAUCCGGCCUUGAGUCUAGCCCAAGGUCGUGAGGCUUCGCAAGGAUACCAAACUGUGUGAAGCCAUGAGAACUGCUUUGGUUCUCAUCACUCAGUCCUUGACUACACAUCAACAGAGUGUGUGGGAAAAACAAUCAAGUCAUGUGUGCUUAUACAUUUGAUUUCUACCUUACUUGAAUUAUGUAUUAACCCCAUCAAUCUCACAAUGCAAAGUAACCACAAGGGGUCCAAUUCCAUUUUUACAGAACCACAAUCUUUUGAAAAAUCUAUUUUCAGCAUGCUCCUCAGUUGAUUCUGAUGUAGCACAGUCUUCGGACUGGCUUUUAGGAUGCACUCUCAGUAGGAGGAUGGCAGAAAAAAAGAACUGUUCUGUAACAGUGAGUAGUAGUCAGAUCUGGCCUGGAACUUAAUGAAAGGUGGGAGACAGUGGUAGGCAAUUAGAACAGUAAAAGUGCAGAACUCAAGAGUAGUCAAGAUCAAUGAAAUCUGAGAACAGUCUGUUAGGAUGCAAAAGCUGAAAAAGCUUCAAGGUCCAUAAAGGAAGUUAUCAUAAAAGAUUAGUGGAGAUAGAAUAAGUAGAUGGUGAAGCGGUACACAUAGGUAACUCUUUGAAAACAAGCAGUGAAGAAACAGCAGUGGCUUGAAGGGAUGAAGUAUGGAAGAAAUUGAGGUUUUCUAGUACAAUGGACACCUGUUGGAUUGUCUGCUCAGCCCUCCUUUCCUGGGAAUGACCUUCCCCCCCCAUUUACAAAGUUACAGCAAAAAUUGUCAUAGUCCUGUAACCAUAGCUGAUUGGGUCAAAGGUGGACAACUAAUCCAAGCUGGGUCAGUCUGAAUCUCAUCCCUAGAAAUUUGGAAUUGGACCAGAGAGAUCAGUGUAAAACUUGGAAGCUGUCAGCAAUUUCCCCACCAGAGGGACAGAAGUAAAAGAUGCUUGUCUGUAGAAAGAGAAGAAAAAUGCAGACUGGCAGAGAUGAGAGAUAGGGAGUCUUCACUGUGUUUAAGUCCCAGGUUCUAGAUAAUUUCUGAGGCAUUCUUGUCCUUUCUUUCUGUAAAGCAAUCCUACAUCCUUACCAUAAGGUUGGAGGCACCGGAGGGAGGGGUGAGCACGUUGGACACUGAUGAUGUGCCAAAGUCCCUGGCUGCUUCCCCCUCCCAAUCUGAAAAAUGUGCCUUAGGCUAGCCAAUCCAUGCACCGCUGUAAAUCUAUGCUCUGCCUCCCCCUACCUUCUUUAAAAAUUCCCCGCCUGUCUGGUUGUGUGCGACUUCCCCAGCCUGUAUUAGUGCAGACUGGUGAACCUCGCCUGGGAUUGCACUCAAAUAAACUGCCUGGCCCUUUGUUGCCUCUUGUCGCCUGCUUAUUUCGGUUAGAACUUAUCUUACAUUUGGUACUGAAAAACCCGGGAAGGAGUGUGAGCACGGGGCCCCAACCAGCCAUUGGCCCCUCCUUCCCUGACCCGGGACCAAAGCCUGCUCUCCGCUGCGUAGACUAUUUUCUGGUGAGUCCCUCAGUUUCCCCUGGUCUGUUUCCCUUCCUAACUCCAUUUCACCUGGUCCGUCCAAAAUCAUAGCUACGUCCAGGUUGGGGCAUCCAGCCCCUGAGCAUCCAGCCCAUCUGCUGAGGGCAUCUGGGAUACCCGCCCCUGGCCCUGCAGUGUGGGAGACGUCCCUCACCCAGGCUCCCAGGCUGUCUCCCCUGACUUGGCGCACUUGGGAUGCUGGGCACUCCUCUCAGCGGGAUUUGUUGGGAAGUGGUGCAGACAUGGGGAACCAGCCCUCGAAAGCAGAGGCUCAGACCCCGCUGCGGUGUCUCAUUUCUAAUUUGGCUACUCUAUAUUUGUCCUGGGAAGUUUGCAAACGGAAGCUAGUCUUUCUUUGCUCUGAGGCCGGGCCUCAGUAUCCCUUGGACAAUCAAUCUCGCUGGCCCCCUGAGGGAACUUUCAAUUUUGGCCUCCUCACCGACUUGACUAAUUAUUGCCACCGGAGCAGAGAGUGGAGUGAAAUCCCAUAUGUGCAGGCUUUUUGGACUUUGCGCUCCCACCCAGACCUUUAUGUUAAGUGUUCAAUGACUCAGGUUCUCCUGGCCCAAUCUCCAGUUAAGGAUUGUCAGCCUCUUACUCUGCCCAGUCCUUCUUCCUUUUCAGAUCUUCUGGAGGACCUUGGUCUCCCACCUCUCUCAGCUCGCUACCCCCACACCUCUCCACCACCAUCUUUCUUUAAGUUCUUUGUCCUCUCCUGUGUCGCUGCCAUCUUAAAGUCCUACAUUCUCAACCAUACCGUCUUCCUGCUCCUCUCCUCUUCCGGUGGCUGCACCAACCCCCCCACCUUCCGCCUUCACCGCCCUCUUCCCCCACUGGAACAUGCUCCUCCCGUCCUCCAGUUCUGGAAGCCAUAGACAAGACUCCUCGCAGCACAGACCUGCCUCCUUUCUCUCCUGAUCCUACACCCCUCCCCACACCCACCAUUUUGUAAGUGGUCUGGCGUAGUUGUUGUGAGUGGGUGAGCUAGGCGUAGCAAGUGAACAUCUUAGUGAUUGUCUAUUGCAGUGUGUGUGCCUGCCUGCAGCCUGAAAAUUUUUGUAGUGACCUAGAAUCUUAAAGUUUUGCUAAGUUAAGUAGACAUAUUUUGUGCUUAGAGAUUAUGCUGUGAAGCACAUGGUGUCAGGAAUUAUAAAGUAUGUUCAUGAAUUUGUUAAUCUAAAGAAUGCUAGUGCAAUGGUUUACAAUAGCCCACUUCUCAGUGUUCACUGAAAAUUAAAGUUCCUAAUAGUUUUGAGGUCUAAUUAAAGCUGUUUAAGAAGAAAACAUCUCUACUUGCUAAAAGGAUAUGUGUUUUAAUAAGAGAAAGUAUAAAGAAUGGAAAUUCGUUUUGUUGAGGGUAAAAGAAAGUAAUUGUUCUAAAGUACAGCUAUUUAUUUUAAAAAGAAGAACACUGAAUGUAAAAACAAAGUUUUCUUUACUGUUAGUCUGCUCUUAAUAGUGAAAGAUUGCAAAGGGUUCUCUAAUUGUUUUAUCAAAACAGUUUCUCAUGCUUAAAGUCUCAAUGAGUUGUCUGACUAUUUAAGAUAAUGAGAUCUUAAUAUGAAAAAACUAAAAGCUAAGCUUUGCUAAUAACUGUGUAACCUUCUGUAUUUGCCUUUAAAAUCUUUUAUUGUCAUUCUAGUUAAAUAGAUAAGUAUUGUUUCAUAGUAACUUAUGAUUCUAUUUAAACAAAUGCCUUAAAAAAACUUUAACAGCUUCCCAAAAUCAAAUUUAAAAAGGUGCUUUUACCUCUAGUUAACUCUGAUAUUUUCCAGAGGGCCCCUGGAACAUGUCAGAAGAAUUUUUUUUCAUUAGAGAAAGUAUUUGGCCAAUUUGGGUUUUUUUCUGAUUAGAGAAAGUAUUUAGCCAAUUUAGCUUAUUUAUCUGAUAUAAACUUACCUGCUAAAUUGCCUAGAAGGCACUGUCAAGGGGAAUGAUGCUAAACUUUGUUACUGAAUGUUUUGUGUUAGAAAAAUAUCCAAAUUUCCUUAUGUCAACUGUCUUACAGUAAGCUCUCAUCAGGUCUUUAAUCAUUGUCAUUUGUAAGUCUUUUGUCAUUUAUAGUCACUGUUUUAUUACUCCUAAACUAGUAAAGAACUAGAUUUCACCAGAACAAGUAUUAGUUACAUAAGACGUAAGUUAAAAAGGCAGAAGAGGAACCCCAAACUCCACUCCAUGACCUGGUAACCAUGGCCUUUAAAGUAUUUAAUACCCAUGAUAAAGAACAUGAGAAGAGGACAGUGUCCCAAACCUGAGCCCUCGCAGCGGCCCUGUGGCCAGCAGAAUAGGGGUCUCAUCACACCAAAGACUGGUCCGGAGCUCGUGAGCCUCCAGGACCCUGCUUCCAGUGUGGUCAAGAAGACCACUGGGCAAAGAGAUGCCCCAACCCGACCAACACGCCGACUAAACCCUGCCCAGUUUGCGGUAAGAGAUGUCAUUGGAAAGUAGAGUGCCCAGUUGGAGAAGGUCAUCCUCCCGCGACUGAGUCUCAUGAGAGGCAGGCUCCCCUAAGGGACUCCCCUCUGGACCUGCUGAGCCUACUCAAAGACUGAAGAUGCCUAGACUCGAACACCCCUAUCACCCUUGUCAAGCCCAGGGCCACGCUGUGGGUAGCGGGUAAGUCCAUCUCCUUUUUAGUAGACACGGAGGCUGCCUACUCUGUUUUGCCUUCCUUUCACAGGCGUUUACAUCCUUCCCAGGUCUCGGUUGUGAGUGUCACGGGAACCCCCUCUAAGCCUCUAGAGACAGGUCCAGUAGCCUACACGUUUGAGAGCCAUCUUCUUACCCACUCAUUUCUAGUCAUCCCAUCCUGUCCCUUCCCUUUGUUAGGGAGAGAUCGCCUCUCCAAGCUUGGUGCCUCUAUCUCCCUGCCUCUUAAUCAUCUCAAACCGAGCUCACUCAUCAUCUUAGCCAGUAUAAGUUGUAGCCCUGAGCCCUCCACAGACCCUCCUGUACCGCCGACCGGCGCUAACCUGAUAGUCUGAGAAACCUCUACUCCUGUAGUAUCAAGCCAUCAUGCUUCAGUCCUCAUCCACCUCAAAGACCCAUCCUCCUCUCCUUCUAGACCCCAAUUUCCUAUUUCCCAAGCCCAUCGCAAGGGCAUCCUACCUAUCAUUAUCCAUCUUCUUUCCCAAAGGCUUCUGGUACCAACUAAUUCUCCCUGUAACACUCCAAUUCUUCCAGUCAAGAAGCCAUCGGGAGCCUACCAGCUUGUUCAAGACCUGUAGAUAAUCAACGAAGCUGUAGUCCCUCUUCACCCGGUCGUCCCUAACCCUUAUACUCCCUUAUCUCAAGCUCCCCCGGACACCUCUCCUACCUACCUUACUUCUCACUCCUAAGAAAGAUACCCCCUUGUCCCGCCCAAUGCUCAUCUUUCCAUUCUUUCGUCCAGGCUGCCUGCUAUGAACAAGCCUCAGUCUGUCUCUCAUUGUCCGGACUACAGUACUAGAUGGGGCAAAGCCUGAGUGAUCAUGCUAGAUAUAUCUGUCCUGAGAGACGAAGACAACAUAUCUGCUAGAAGCUCUGGCCACCGAUAGAGAGGUCGGACAGUAGAAGUUAACAAGACCAUCACCCUUUUUCUACCACCUUCUCUACCUUAUCCUCAUGGUUGCAGCAGGAGCCAUCCUAUAUGUACCUUUCCCGAGAAUUUGGGAUUGAGCUGGAGGUGGAGAGAUGAAAUAUCCUGGCUGUGGUCAAGCACUACAUUUGUUUGUUCCUAAGGCCCACCUACAUUAUCCCUGGAUUUUGUGAGACAUCACCAUCUUUAUAAUAAAUUCCUCUUUUUCUUAACCUUAUUCAAAUUGGGUUUCUAUUCUUACACAAAAGAGUCUUAAACAUGUAUAGAACAGGAUAAACUUUAUGCUGGACAUAGGCCGUAGAGAGAGUAGAGGUAACAGAGGCCAAGGCCCUGAAAGCAGAAGAUAGUAGAUAUCAUAGAAUAGUGGUUGAAAAGGUGUGCUUUGGAGCCAAGAUUUGGGUUCCAGUACCAGUUCUACUCUUUAUUAGUUAUUAGCUUUAACAAGUUACUUAGCCUCUUGAUCCCUUACUGUAUCUAUGAAAUAGGGACUCACUAAUUUAUUCAACAGAUUUAUUUGGUACCAGGAAUAAAGCGGGGCACCAGGAGAACACAGUUUUCAAGACAGUCAAGCUUAGAAGGGAGAUGGCAAUGAUACCUCAGAAGCUUGUGAAGAUUAAAUGAUGUAGUAAAAUGCUUAUCAUCAUAACUGGCACAGGCUGUUUGCUUAAACAUGCAUGAUUCUUCUACAAAAAUUAAUAAACAAGUGAUCUGACCUCAUUUGACAGUUUCCCAAGUCACUGCAGUAUGCAGUUCUCAAAAAUGCUGCCCUAGAUGCCCCAAAUGAUAGCAACAGAAUCUUUGCAAUGGUGAGUGUGAGCCUCAGGUAAGCAAUAUAAGACGUAUUUUUUGAAAAAGGGUACUGAAUGUUGCAAAGUAGACUGUGCAAAAUUAUAUAUAUAUAUAUAUAUAUAUAUAUAUAUAUACCCAUUAAGUUUUCCUCAUUACCUGGCAAGCUCAUGGGGUAAAGUUUUAGCGCAAUAAGGAGGAAAAUCUGUUAACAGAAAUGUUGGGUGAUAAUUUGGAAUGUUUACCAGUAGACAGAACUCAUUAUUAGGUAAAUGUGUACCAGAAACAACCUUGAAAUCUUCAGAGAGGAAAGUAGGCAUUUUUACCAUGUAUAUGUAGUAGUUGAUAAACCCCAUUUAAGAAUUCUAUUUGGGUUUCACAGACUGAGCAUUAGAUAACUCUGUGACCAGCCUUUUAAGAUUAUUACAGUUAACCUUUUUGAAAACCAAAGUGUAUAUUUUGACAUUGCCUCCCCUCCUCCAAAGACUGGAUAAAACCCAGUAAAGUGCAAUUUGACAGUGAUGUCUCUCAGAAUCUAAAGAGGCUGCCAAAAUCAUCUAAGUUCUAAAAUCAUCUAAGAUGCUAUAGGUAUUAACAAGAAAUUAUAAUGGCUAAAAAAAAUGGUAAUCGAAAAACAAAGUUGAGGGCAACUUAAAUAGUAUCCUUCGAGGGUCUACUAUCUCACUGCAGGACAGUGUAUACCCCACAUCGCUCAGAACCCUGUAAAGCCAGUGUUUCAUGUAUAAGUCUCAAAACCUGCAAAACCUGUGUCAAGUAAAUUUCACUUCAGAAGAAUGGACAGGGGUGUAACUUGAAUGCUCUUAGUUAGGAAUACAAAGAUUCCCCCAAAAUGAGAUUCAUGUCAGUUGCAGUAUACCCCUUGCAAAAGAAUGCAAGCCAAACCAAUGCCUCUCAGAUGCUCAAAAACAAUGUAUUGUGCACAUGAGAAACAAGGAGAUAGCUGCUUUGAAUUACUAUCGAAAUCCCAAAGCAGCUACAGUACCUGCAGAAUCAAGGAACUGUUACAGUUCUGUUUUUUUCCUUUCUUUCCGCCUCAGCUAAAACAAGGCUUCACUCCUACUGCUGUGACGGGAAGAAAAUCAUAUUAAAAAUGGCUUAUGGUCUACAUUGGUUGACAAAGUUACUCUAAUUUUAUACACCAAAAUGCUUCCUGCAGCAAGUUACCCUGCCUUCUGUGAAUGGUGGAAUUGUGGAUGGAUUCUGCAUUGAGGAAGCUGGAAACACCUGAAAAUUCAUCCCUGGCUGGAAUGGUCCCCCAGAUUGGGUAGGAAUUACUAUAGACUGUUGU